rnacentral:rRNA from 1 species
GGGCGCAAGCCUGAUGCAGCGACGCCGCGUGAGGGAUGGAGGCCUUCGGGUUGUAAACCUCUUUUAUCGGGGAGCAAGCGAGAGUGAGUUUACCCGUUGAAUAAGCACCGGCUAACUACGUGCCAGCAGCCGCGGUAAUAMRWARRNNNCAAGCGUUAUCCGGAAUUAUUGGGCGUAAAGGGCUCGUAGGCGGUUCGUCGCGUCCGGUGUGAAAGUCCAUCGCUUAACGGUGGAUCCGCGCCGGGUACGGGCGGGCUUGAGUGCGGUAGGGGAGACUGGAAUUCCCGGUGUAACGGUGGAAUGUGUAGAUAUCGGGAAGAACACC